rnacentral:tRNA from 1 species
GGAAAUGUAGCAUAAUGGUUAAUGUCCUUGUUUGUCAAGCAAGUGGAUGGGAGUUCGAAUCUCCUCGUUUUCG